AAUAGUGAUAUGGAGCAAAACCCUAAAAAGACGGUCUCAGUUCGGAUUGAAGGCUGAAAUUCGCCUUCAUGAAGCUGGAAUUGCUAGUAAUGGCAGGUCAGCAUACUGCCGUGAAUACGUUCCCGGGCCUUGUACACACCGCCCGUCACACCAUGAGAGUUGGAAAUACCCGAAGCCUGUGAGCUAACUGUAAAGAGGCAGCAGUCGAAGGUAGAGCCAAUGAUUGGGGUGAAGUCGUAACAAGGUAGC
rnacentral:rRNA from 1 species